GCACGGAUGGCCGAGUGGUCUAAGGCGCCAGACUCAAGCAGUGUGCUUCGCACGAGUUCGAUGUGCGACUGGGGUGUUCUGGUAUCGUUAUCGAUGCGUGGGUUCGAAUCCCACUCCGUGCA
rnacentral:tRNA from 1 species